UUGCACAUUGCUGUUAAGGAAGCCAUCAUCAAAUUCUGUCCACUUGUAAUCACCAAACACAAUGUUAUGUCUGUUCAACAGUUUUAGGACACUCAUCCUGAUAUCUUCUUUCUUUGCCGUACUGUUUGAUUUCUGAUGAACUUCCACGUGUAUUUGAACAUUAUCGCACGUGUUUGGGAGGGCUUGCUUCAAAUCUCCAGCUGCUUCAUCCAUCCUUCUCACUCCCUUUCUCUCCUUCGGGAUAUACAAGCACCAGCCCGAGACCAGGGAACGCGUUGCGAGCACGGGCGGCUCGGCCCGCUCCUCCCUUAGCGUUAGCAGCACGGAGGGGAAAGGAGCUCACGUCGGACAGGGCCCUGAGGACGGUGGCCUGAAGUCGGAGGAUACAGGUUCGCUGGUGGAGCUGAGGACCGAGCACCUUCUUUGUCCCCUCCGCGCGUGGACUGCUGAGAGAGCCGCACCUCUG
rnacentral:lncRNA from 1 species